CACGUAGGGUGCGAGCGUUGUCCGGAAUUAUUGGGCGUAAAGAGCUCGUAGGCGGUGUGUCGCGUCGGCCGUGAAAACCUGUGGCUUAACUGCGGGCUUGCGGUCGAUACGGGCAUCACUGGAGUUCGGCAGGGGAGACUGGAAUUCCUGGUGUAGCGGUGAAAUGCGCAGAUAUCAGGAGGAACACCGGUGGCGAAGGCGGGACUCUGGGCCGAUACUGACGCUGAGGAGCGAAAGCGUGGGGAGCGAACAGG
rnacentral:rRNA from 1 species